CUGAGGAGCCGAAACAGACCAACUGUUUGGCUGAACCAUAUGAAAUUGGCAGCUUUCAACCAUUUUUUGGCCCACAACCCAAUACUACGCUGUCAUCCAGAUCAGAAAGCAAAGCUCCUUGGCUCUUAACUUUUCAUCUACCUGAUAUCCUGGAAGGAAUCUCCUGGAGAAGCUAUUGGGUGCAAGGGGCUGCCUCAGCCAUGUUCUCUGCCCCGUCUCAUUUGUUCCUCAUCAUGAGGUUCCAUUGUGCUGGGGUGGAGAGCCUGCUGUUGGUGUUACGCCAUUGGUAGAGCAAGAUGGCCCAAAUGUGGGAAAUUAGCAAGCAGGACAAGUGAGGACUCUGCUUCCUCUGGCUUCCGGAAAAGCUCUUUUACCAGUACACUGCCAACGACCUCCACCAUGACUGCAUGACCAGCCAAAUGUUCCAUCCUGUGUUCUCGAACUUUCCAUGGAUAUAUUUGGAGUUGAUUAGGAAACUGAAACCUCACACGGCGAAGCCUCUGAGAGAGAACAACUGUACGGAGUUUCCCCCAUAAUCUGUUGCAAGCUUUCUUUGCUCUUAACAUCUUG